GGGACUUUUGGCAGGUAGUUAGGUCAUAGGUGUGCAAUACUGGAUUAUGGAAAUGAUAGUUGGAUUAGUCCACUGAUUGGUUUAGCAUGAUUUUGGGUGUGGAUAAUGGGAAGACCCACCCUAGGUGUGGGUGGCACCAACCAAUAGGCUUGUAGCCUGGGUAAAAUAAAAAGGGAAAGGGAGACUCACUGCUGGCUGCUUUCUACCUGCCGUGCUGUGGACCAUUUCUCCUCUGCCAUGUCCUUCUGCCAAGUUGCCCUGCCUUGCAACCAGUCUUGGACUAAACCUGCUACAAACUGGAUUGAACUCAGGACCUUGCACUUGCAAGGCAGGCACGGUACCACUGAGCUAAAUCCCCAGGCCUUCUGAAACUCUCUUAAAAGAUAGUUGACCUCUAUGCAUUCUACACUGGCCUUCGCCCUUUUUCUCCUUCAAUGUGUUGUCACGCAGAGCUCAAGUACUUUUCCCGCACUAUGCAGUUACACCUACAGAUGUUGUGCUUGCAAAAUGUAAAGAACCAAGGUCCCUCCUGAUCACUAUUCAUCAGCCACCAUAUCAGCCCUCUACUACCUGUAUCUGGAUUUCUUUUAUGUCAAAGAGAAAUAAAUCUCUGUCUUGUUUAAGUGCUGCUAAUUUGGGUUUUUCUGUGGAUGCAGAUGAACCCUAACAAGCAUCAAAGAUCACUUGGCCCCACUCAUUCAGCCAGUAAGUGAUGAGAUUGGAAACAAAAUAACACCAGUGCCUUUGGCCACUGUAUUGUAAUAGAUUAUGUCCUACAUUAAGUUCUGGAAGAUCUAGGAGAAGACAUUCCCCGCUGAGAACUUCGUAGGAAGAGUGUCUAUUUGGAGCUUGACAGUCCUCUCAGUUUUUCUCAGGAUAAAAAGAGAGAAUUAAUCCUUCCUCCUCCAAAUGUUGCCAAAAUUCUACUCUGUGACUUUUCUCCAUCUCAAAUAAAAUAAAACUAACAUCAUCAUAUACUUCCAGAGUAAUCAGAUCUCAAAAUGACAGGCUACUUCUCACUCCAAAGCCAAUAAGGAUUCACACAGGAAAUAGAGACAUACAUUUAUUUAAAUAUUUAUUUACUAUAAAUCAUGAAAAUUGAAUGCAAUAGUACGGAACACAAAAUAUGCCAUUUUUCUUGAAUCUUUUUGGUUUUUGUUUGUUUUUUGUUUUCUUACAAGGCGGGCUGCAGAACCACUGAGCUAAAUCCCCAGCUCUGUUUUUUGUUUUCUGAGACAAGAGUCUCACUAAUACUUCAGGCUGGCCUAGAACUCACUAUGUGCCCCAGGCUGGACCUUGAACUCAAGGUGAUCCUCUUGCCUCAGCCUCCCAAGAGCUCUGGGAUUACAGCAUGUACCAUCAUGCCAAGGCUAAUUUUUUUUUUUUUGGUAUUGGGGAUCAAACUCAGGACCUUGCAUUUUCGAGGUGGGUGCAGUGCCACUGAGCUAAAUUCCCAGCAUCAAGCUUAAUCUUCUUUUUAUACUUUUUUUUAAUAAAAUUUUUUCUCUAACCCAAGUAUGUCUAGACUUGAAAAGAGUAUAACUUUCAAUUAACUCAAACUUAUGUUCCUCAAUGUUUCUCAUCUUAUCUUAGUGGCAUUUUUAUCUACUUUUAAUUCUAAAAAUACAAUUUGUAAUGACAUUAAAUAUAUCAAAUACAUAGAAAUAAUCUUUUUUUAGUUUUCACUCUAAAGUCAGAAACAAGACAAGGAUGCCCACUGGCACCACUUUUGUUCAAUAUAGUUCUGGAAACAUUAGCCAGAGCAAUCAGACAAGAGACCAAAAUAAAAAGAAUAAGGAUAGGAAAGGAAGAAGUUAUCAUUAUUUGCGGAUGACAUGAUACUCUACAUAGACGACCCCCAAAACUCCACCAAAAGACUUCUAGAUUUGAUAACUAAAUUCAGUGGUGUAACUUGAUACAAAGUCAUCACUGAAAAGUCAAUAGCCUUCCUGUACACAUCAGACACUAAGAGAAAAAAUAGAAAAAUAAUCCCUUUCACAAUAGCAUCCCAAAAAACUAAAUACCUAGGAAUCAAUCUAAUUAAGGAAGCAAAAGACCUCUACACUGAAAACUGCAGAAAAAAAAAAAAAGAAAGAAAGAAAAUCACAGCAUUCUGAAAAAGCAGAUUGAAGAGGAAAUCAGAAAAUGGAAAGGUAUUGUUCUUGGAUAGGCAGAACCAAUACAGUGAUCAUACUUCAAAAAUUGUUAUACAAUCUUAAUCAAAAUCCCAACAAAAUAUCUCACAGAAUUAGAAAAAUCCAUUCUAAAAUUCAUUUGGAACCAGAAGAGACCUAGAAUAGCAAAGGCAAUUCUGGGCAACAAAAGCAAAGCAGAGGGUAUCACAAUCCCUGACUUUAAAUUAUACUACAAAGCUAUGGUGAUAAAAAUAGCAUGGUACUGGCAAAAGAACAGACCUGAGGAUCAAUGGAACAGACUAGAGGAUGCAGAAACAACUCCAGACAUACUCAACCACCUUAUUUUUGACAAAGGAGUCAAACACCCUCACUGGAGGAAAGAUAGCCUCUUUAAUAAAUGGUAAUGGAAAAACUAGCUUUCCACAUGCUAAAGAUUGAAACUAGAGCCAUAACCUAAAAUCGAAAUGGAUCAAAGAUCUAAAUACUAAAACAGAAACACUAGAUCUGCCGGAAAAGAGAAUAGGUAGAAUGCUUGAGGACAUAGGAGCAGGCAAAGACUUCAUGAACAAAACCCAGACUGCAUGAGAAAUACUACAAAGAAUCAACAACUGGGAUCUCAUUAAAAAGCUUUUGCACGGCAAGAGAAACCACCAACAGUGUGAAGAGACAACCUAGAGUGGGAAAAAAUUUUUUACCAGCUAUUCAGAUAAAGGACUAUUACCUAGAAUAUAUAAAGAACUCAAAAAAAUCAGACUCCCCAAAUUUAAAGACCCAAUAAAUGGGCAUCUGAAAUAAAAAGACACCUCUCAGAUAAAGAAUUAGAAUGGCUAAUAAAUAUAUGAAAAAAUGUUCAACAUCUUUGGUCAUUAGAGAGAUGCAAAUUAAAACAACACAGAUUUUAUCUCACUCCAGAAAGAAUCGCUGCUAUCAAGAAAUCAACCAAUAACAAAUGCUAGAGGGGGCUGUGGGGAAAAAGGAAACCUUCUCCACUGCUUGUGGGAGUGUCAACUGAUUUCCACUGUGGAAAUAAGUGUGGAGAUUUCUCAAAAAGCUAAAAGUAGAAGUUCCAUUUGAUUCAGCUAUUCCUCUUCUUGGUAUCUUCCCAAAAGAAUUAAAAGAAUCAUACCACAGUGAUAUAUGCACACCUAUGUUUAUAGCAGCACAGUUUGUAACAGUUACAUCUUGGAAACAGCCCAAAUACCCAUCAACUGACAAGUGGAUAAAGAUGAUGUGGAUUUUUUUUUUAAUACAAUAGAGUACUACUCGGCCAUAAAGGAUGAGACAUUUAUAGCUAAAUGGAUGGACCUUGAGACCAUACUCUUAAGUGAAAUAAAUUGGACACACAUGUGUAAAUACCGCAUUGUUUCUCUGGUAUGAGAAACUGAAUGUAGAAAUAAGGAUGGAAAUGUAUAAUGGAUGUUGGGAGAUGGGAAGAAAGUGUUCAAGUGGGAAGAGGAACAAGGGAGAAGGGGAGGGGUAAAGGAAGGAAGGGACAAGAAAAAAAGUGAAAAUAGAAGAAAAAAAUGGAAACAAAGCUUUUGUACAUAGAGAGGAAAGGGGAGGGGCCUUAAGGGGGAAUGGGAUAAAGUAAAAUUUAUCAAUAAUAAAAAAGAAAUAAUCUUUUUAAAAAAUGUAUAAAACUAUUACAUGAAAACUAUACAUCAACAAUGAGAGAAUUUUGAAAGACCUGAAUUAAUGCAGAAAAUAAUGUAAAGGACUGAAGCGGCCAGGUUGUAGCUCAGCGAUAGAGCACAUGGGUCCUGGUUUUAAUUCCUAGCAUACACACACAAAAGAGACCAUGGAUUAAUUAGAAGAUGAAAUCUUUAUUUUGUUUUCUUAGUCAAAUCUUUAAAAUUUACAGAAACACAGAAGAAAAAAAGUAAAUUGAAGGAAAAAAUGGAAACAAAGCUUUUGUGUAUACGGGGGGAUGGGGAAAAAAGCAGCAAGAUAUAUCAUGUACUGGUACAAAUUCUCUAUGAUGAAUGUUAUCAUUACAUGUAUCUAAAAUGUACCAAUAAGUGUUUUGCUAAAAAAAAAUCCACACAAACACAAAGCUAACCACAAUAAGAUACCACCUAUUACCUAUCAGAGUAGCUAUUACAAAAAAGACAAAAGAUAACAAGCACACGCUGGACAAAUGCACUACCCUGAGCUAUACCCAACCUCAUGUGCAACUCCCAUAACUGUCAUCUAAGUGCAGGAUUCUCAAAAUGACAGGUCCCGCCAGCCCUGCAGCCUGAUUCCAAACCUCUUUCCAUCUGCCAGUUUGACCCCACCCCCCAUACUUCUCAAGGUGCACCCAACCCCACCCAGUCAGCCUGAGAGGGCUCGGAGUCAUUGCCAGCUCAUCCUCUGCUUCACUCCCACAUUUCCUCGACCAUGUUCUAGCUCUGCACCUUUGGAAUGUUUCUCCUCUUUGUCAGCCUAGGAUCAGGCUACUCACAACAGAAUUUUUAACUGAUCUCCAAUUCCUUGCUUUAGGCCUGUGUAAAAUAAGCUGUUUCUGGUUUGAUUCUGCCUCCAUAGUCCAAAAGGGGCAGACUCCAGAGUCCUGUGCUUUUGCUGAGACUCCUCAACUUUGCCAAAUGCUCCAAGCUUUGCCAUUCACGUGCUAUGUGGACCUUGCCAAAGGUUUAUCUGUGCACACUUUGGGGGCUUCCUAGGAGUUGUGUUCUUGCAUAGCAGGGAAUCUUGUUCCAAGACAUGACUGUUUCCCCUAUAGUCUUAGGGACAAGUCCCAAGGUAAAGGGACCAAAAGGGUAUUUUUCUCUUCCCAGGAGCCCCAUGUAAAGUGUCAUGAGUUCCCAGAAGAAAAAAAAAAAAGAAUCUCAUUAGGAACUGCUAUGGCACAAAGUAAGCAGCUGAGUCCAAUUAGCUUUGUGACCCUGCCAAAUGUAGCUUCAACUUCUUCAUGCAGAACAUGAGGGUCCAACCUCUGCUUACCUCAGUUGCACUGAGUAAGGAGGAAAUGUUAUGGCCUCAUGUGGCCAAGGUGGGGAGUUUUGAAGGUGGCUGGAUUGGGGUAAGUGAAUGUGGAUUAAGGGUAUGAUGCUAGGAUUAAGGGUGCCCAGCCUGGGGUGUGGGUGGCACCAAUCAAAAGGUGUGUAGCCUGGAUGGGAUAAAGGGGAGAGGCAGGCUUGCUGCUGCUGCUUCUGUUUCACUGUUUGCUGCUUCAGUGUCCUCUGGCUGCCUGCCAUGGACUGUUUCUCUGAGAUAUCCCUUUGCCAUGCCACCCUGCCUUGGAGCCAGCUAACGAUGGACUAAAACCUCUAUAAACUAUCCAUCACAGACCAGGCACUGAAUUUCUUUGCAAUAACACAGGUAGGAUGUGGCGGCACCUUUAUGGAACCACGCUACCCUCAAGAGUAUAAUUUCCAGAGCCGGGUGUUCUGCAUGCCUGUAAUCCCAGCACUCGGGAGGCUGAGGCUGGAGGAUCACUAGGAAAACACCCUUCCUGCUUUGAAUCGGCCUGAAAUCCACCCAUCCUGGAGCCGCUCUCACCUGUGGAGAUCCGACCUGGCUGGCCCCAUGUUCUUAAGAAGUUGAGGCGAGAGAGAAAGGGACUCCGUUUCUGUCUGGGAAGACUAGGCUUGAGUGAUUUUCAGACCUUCAGUGAGACAUCUCUGGGUGUGUCUGUGAAGGUGUGUCCAGAGGAGAUUAGCAUUUGAAUCACAGUGCUGAGAAAAGAAGACCUGCCUCACCGAUUUUUUUCCUCCCCACCUCAUCUCAUGCUUGGACCAGAGAGUGUCCCCCAAGCCUCCCCAGCUCUGACACCCAUGGGAGCAGCAGAAGAGGACUUACACACGUGUAUUCUCACCUCCAGCUCCAGCAAGGGGAGCUGAAGAGGAAAGCUCUGGGGAGGGUGAAGAGAGCAGUCAGCAUGCACCGCACAGUCAAGUCUAGCUUACCUUCCCAUGAGGGCACCUGCAUCUGUGUUGUGCUCACGCUUUCCUAACUGCUGGGGAAAGAAUCAGGUAACACUAACCACUUCCCUUGGUAGAGGUCCACAGAAAAUGCUCACAAAUAUGAUAUAGACUAUUUUGCAUGAUAUUACCUAUAAAAUUUUCUAGUUCAUAUAGGACAAGUAGUGUCCUUUUACAACUAACAUUUACCAUUCAUGGAGCUACUUGGUGCCAGCAUUUGGUGGGUGCCUGGGGGCUUUCUCUUUACAUCUCACCAUAGCUCAUUAGGGCAGUUGUUAUCUUUGAUUAAAGAGAAAGACUAGGAGAUCGACUGGAGAGAAUUCACCCUACAAGUGACUUAUUAAGGCCACAAACUGUCUUUCUGUACCAAAUGGCAUCUAAGAAAGGAGAAAAUAAUACUCCUUGAUAUGUCAUUUGUUUUGCUUUUACACCCUGCCACACCCUUGCCACUGCUAUCAGUGUGUUUACUUUGGACACUGCAAUCAGCGAUGUUGGCUCUGAGAUCUGAGAUUUCCACUGGGAAUCACUUUGUGUCAAGCUGGCUGAAGAAACCAAAUCCUUUGAGUCCUCCUUAAUUGCUGGCUCAUGCUGUUAGCUCAUUGGAUGUUUUAUGUGGAGUCUGUUAAGGAAAACUGCUCUUCUAUCUUUCUCCUGAGCCCAAGGAUUCUUUCAUGCAUUGUGACACAAUUUAUAGGGCAUCUCCCAAGGACUGUGGGUAACAUAUAGUAUAGCUAUUUCGUUCAAGGAAAUUCUGGAGUGGAAAUGUUCCACUCUAUCAAGAGAUUUGUUUUCAUUAACAAGCUGUCUUCCAAGCAGUCAGAUCUUUAGGGAAUCUCAUGGGGGCCUACAUGUUUAGCCCUUGGGGAAUUCUCUAGUGCCAGCCAGGGCCUGCAUGAGGCAGGUUCCCACUUAGGAUGCUGUCUUGGGUUACUCCAGUAUGGAGUGGAGUGAAAAUCCCUAGCAACCUUCUUCUGCUUCUGAUGUCUUAGUUGAACCAAGACAAACUCUGCAAGAGUAACUGCCCUGCUGGUGUGAAAAACUAAAAGUGUAAAUAAGGAUCAAAAUGUAUAAUUGAUAUUGUGAAAUAGGAAGAAAAGGUCUAAAGGAGUAGGGGAAAGGAAAGAAGGGAAAAGAAAAAAUAUGAGAAAAGGAAAAAAAUGGGAACAAAGUCUUUGUAAAUAGGGAGGGGUGGAGGGGGUGAAAGGAGGCCAGGGAAUGGGGAAAAAAUAAGAACCAAGAUAUAUCAUGUAAAGGUACAAGAUCCCAAUGAUGAAUGUAACUGUAUUAUAUACCUAAAAUGUAC
ensembl:lncRNA